rnacentral:rRNA from 1 species
AGUGAACGCUGGCGGUAGGCCUAACACAUGCAAGUCGAACGGCAGCACAGUAAGAGCUUGCUCUUACGGGUGGCGAGUGGCGGACGGGUGAGGAAUACAUCGGAAUCUACUUUUUCGAGGGGGAUAACGUAGGGAAACUUACGCUAAUACCGCAUACGACCUACGGGUGAAAGCAGGGGAUCUUCGGACCUUGCGCGAUUGAAUGAGCCGAUGUCGGAUUAGCUAGUUGGCGGGGUAAAGGCCCACCAAGGCGACGAUCCGUAGCUGGUCUGAGAGGAUGAUCAGCCACACUGGAACUGAGACACGGUCCAGACUCCUACGGGAGGCAGCAGUGGGGAAUAUUGGACAAUGGGCGCAAGCCUGAUCCAGCCAUACCGCGUGGGUGAAGAAGGCCUUCGGGUUGUAAAGCCCUUUUGUUGGGAAAGAAAAGCAGCAGGUUAAUACCCCGCUGUUCUGACGGUACCCAAAGAAUAAGCACCGGCUAACUUCGUG